rnacentral:lncRNA from 1 species
UUGUUUUCAAGCUUGAGCCUAAGAUAGUGAUUAUUGAGCUAAAUCUAUCCUAUUCAAUAUUACAUAAUGAGAUUCUUUCUAUACAUUUCUUUCUAUUUUCUUUUUCUUUCACUGAUCCCCAGCUAACAAUAUCGUAGGUGGUCGGGGUUUAACCUCAAGGAACCGUAAAAGAUACAUUGUUUCAAUCAGAUCUCGAGAUACCAGUGCGUCCCCUACCAUGUUCCUUCUCUUCCUCUUUUUUCUUUCAUUUUUUUGACCUGUUCUUCUCUAUUUUCAGGUGGAAUUGAGAGUGUGGCAGGCUCAAUUCUUCUGCAUCUUCAACUGGUGAUUCAUGACAGUGCAA